rnacentral:rRNA from 1 species
ACGCUGGCGGCACGCCUAACACAUGCAAGUCGAACGGAGUAGCAAUACUUAGUGGCAGACGGGUGAGUAACAUGUAGGUAUCUGCCCUUUGGCCUGGAAUAACACGAGGAAACUUGUGCUAAUACCGGAUAAGUCUUUACGGAGAAAGCUUUAUGCACCAUUGGAUGAGCCUGCACUUGAUUAGUUUGUUGGUGGGGUAAUGGCCUACCAAGACUUUGAUCAAUAGCUGAUUUGAGAGGAUGAUCAGCCACAUUGGGACUGAGACACGGCCCAAACUCCUACGGGAGGCAGCAGUGGGGAAUCUUGCACAAUGGAGGAAACUCUGAUGCAGCGAUGCCGCGUGAGUGAAGAAGGCCCUUGGGUUGUAAAGCUCUUUCGUCGGGGAAGAAAAUGACUGUACCCGAAUAAGAAGGUCCGGCUAACUUCGUGCCAGCAGCCGCGGUAAUACGAAGGGACCUAGCGUAGUUCGGAAUUACUGGGCUUAAAGAGUUCGUAGGUGGUUGAAAAAGUUGGUGGUGAAAUCCCAGAGCUUAACUCUGGAACUGCCAUCAAAACUUUUCAGCUAGAGUUUGAUAGAGGAAAGCAGAAUUUCUAGUGUAGAGGUGAAAUUCGUAGAUAUUAGAAAGAAUACCAAUUGCGAAGGCAGCUUUCUGGAUCAUUACUGACACUGAGGAACGAAAGCAUGGGUAGCGAAGAGGAUUAGAUACCCUCGUAGUCCAUGCCGUAAACGAUGUGUGUUAGACGUUGGAAAUUUAUUUUCAGUGUCGCAGCGAAAGCAAUAAACACACCGCCUGGGGAGUACGACC